rnacentral:rRNA from 1 species
GCUUGUCUCAAAGAUUAAGCCAUGCAUGUCUAAGUAUAAAUGAUAUACAGUGAAACUGCGAAUGGCUCAUUAAAACAGUUAUAGUUUAUUUGGUAAUCGAAUUUACAUGGAUAACCGUGGUAAUUCUAGAGCUAAUACAUGCUGUAAAGCCCGACUCUUCGGAAGGGCCGUAUUUAUUAGAUAACAGACCAAUAUUCCUCGUGUCUAUUGUGGUGAAUCAUAGUAACUAAUCGGAUCGCAUGGGCUAGUCCCGCGACAAACCAUUCAAGUUUCUGCCCCAUCAGCUUUGGAUGGUAGGGUAUUGGCCUACCAUGGCUUUAACGGGUAACGGAGAAUUAGGGUUCGAUUCCGGAGAGGGAGCCUGAGAAAUGGCUACCACAUCCAAGGAAGGCAGCAGG